CCUACGGGUGGCAGCAGUGGGGAAUAUUGGGCAAUGGAGGAAACUCUGACCCAGCAACGCCGCGUGAAUGAUGAAGGUCUUCUGAUUGUAAAGUUCUUUUCUUAGGGAAGAAGAAUGUGACGGUACCUUAUGAAUAAGCCUCGGCUAACUACGUGCCAGCAGCCGCGGCAAGACGUAGGAGGCGAGCGUUCUCCGGAAGCACUGGGCGUAAAGGGUGCGUAGGUGGUUUGGCAAGUUAGUAGCGUAACUCCAAGGCUCAACCUUGGAACUAAUACUAAAACUGUUGGACUUGAGUGCGGGAGGGGCAACCGGAAGUCCUAGUGUAGCGGUGGAAUGCGUAGAUAUUAGGAGGAACACCAGUGGCGAAGGCGGGUUGCUGGACUGUAACUGACGCUGAGGCACGAAAGCGUGGGGAGCAAACAGGAUUAGAUACCCUUGUAGUC
rnacentral:rRNA from 1 species